GGUACCAAAUCAGAGAUGGGAGUCGAUCUCAAUUCGAAUUGGAGAAUGAGACACCUUCCUGUAUUCUCAAUAAAAGGAGGGCUCUGUCACAAUGCUCUACACCUCUGCUUCUACACAAAGAAUCGGAAAUUACUCCCUUGUUCUCAAAAAUUGGAUUUUCUGCUACGGGUUCGGAACGAUUCUUCAAGCAAUUGGCGCGUACUCCCACAACUUGUCUCUAUAAUCAAAGUCUCGGAAAGGUAAGCUCAUUUGCACAACAUCCCUCCUAAAGGCCAAGCAAUUGUUCACCGCUACUCACUUAAAACAAUUAAUGUUGCUGCAUUUUGCCUUUGUUGUUGUCUUCCUACUGUCAGUACUUCAAAAGUUCAAUUAAUUAAACAAGCCAUCUUUUUGUCCUCUAGCUUGUGACAUUCAAAGUUUAAGCCUUUAUUUGUCUCUUGUCUUCUUACUAACUUUGUAUAGCAAGUAUAAGAUUGAAACAAUUAAUUGAAUCAUACUUGCCACCGUUUGGCUUUUGCAAGUUCCAAGUUGAACAUGUUUUUUUGUCUUCUUGUCAUCAUGACUCCAUAAAGAAAUUUCAUUUUUUUAUAUUUGUUGCUUCCCAGCUUGCAUCAACGAUUUCAGAGAAGUCAUAUAAUUAAACUUGUUAGUUGUUACCAGUAGCUUUGCUUUGACCAUGUAUAGCAACAAUGAAAAUUUCACUUCACUUGAUCG